rnacentral:rRNA from 1 species
GUACCGCGUAUACAAUCUGCCUCAUACUAGGGAAUAGCCCGAAGAAAUUUGGAUUAAUGCCCUAUAGUAUCUUUUUAAGGCAUCUUAUUAAGAUUAAAGGUUACGGUAUGAGAUGAGUAUGCGUUCUAUUAGCUAGUAGGUGUGGUAACGGCACACCUAGGCUACGAUAGAUAGGGGCCCUGAGAGGGGGAUCCCCCACACUGGUACUGAGACACGGACCAGACUCCUACGGGAGGCAGCAGUAAGGAAUAUUGGACAAUGGGCGAAAGCCUGAUCCAGCCAUGCCGCGUGCAGGAUGACGGCCCUAUGGGUUGUAAACUGCUUUUAUAUAGGAAGAAAAACUUUCUCGUGAGAAAGCUUGACGGUACUAUAAGAAUAAGGAUCGGCUAACUCCGUGCCAGCAGCCGCGGUAAUACGGAGGAUCCAAGCGUUAUCCGGAAUCAUUGGGUUUAAAGGGUCCGUAGGUGGACAAAUAAGUCAGAGGUGAAAUCCUGCAGCUCAACUGUAGAACUGCCUUUGAUACUAUUUGUCUUGAGUUAUUAUGAAGUGGUUAGAAUGUGUAGUGUAGCGGUGAAAUGCAUAGAUAUUACACAGAAUACCGAUUGCGAAGGCAGAUCACUAAUAAUUAACUGACACUGAGGGACGAAAGCGUGGGUAGCGAACGGGAUUAGAUACCCUGGUAGUCCACGCCGUAAACGAUGGUCACUAGCUGUUUGGACUUCGGCCUGAGUGGCUAAGCGAAAGUGAUAAUGACCCACCUGGGA